GUACAUAUGAUGAGAAUCACACAGUAUGAAAAAUGAUGAUACUGUAAACGCUUUCUGAUGUA
ensembl:snoRNA